UACGUAGGGUGCAAGCGUUAAUCGGAAUUACUGGGCGUAAAGCGUGCGCAGGCGGUUGUGUAAGACAGAUGUGAAAUCCCCGGGCUCAACCUGGGAACUGCAUUUGUGACUGCACGGCUGGAGUGCGGCAGAGGGGGAUGGAAUUCCGCGUGUAGCAGUGAAAUGCGUAGAUAUGCAGAGGAACACCGAUGGCGAAGGCAAUCCCCUGGGCCUGCACUGACGCUCAUGCACGAAAGCGUGGGGAGCAAACAGG
rnacentral:rRNA from 1 species